rnacentral:rRNA from 1 species
UGCCAGCAGCCGCGGUAACACGAACUGCGCAAACGUUAUUCGGAAUUAUUGGGCGUAAAGCGCGUGUAGGCGGUUCGUUAAGUCUGAUGUGAAAGCCCGGGGCUCAACCCCGGAAGUGCAUUGGAAACUGGCGAACUUGAGUACGGGAGAGGAAAGUGGAAUUCCGAGUGUAGGGGUGAAAUCCGUAGAUAUUCGGAGGAACACCAGUGGCGAAGGCGGCUUUCUGGACCGAUACUGACGCUGAGACGCGAAAGCGUGGGGAGCAAACAGGAUUAGAUA